rnacentral:rRNA from 1 species
AUACGUAGGGUGCAAGCGUUAAUCGGAAUUACUGGGCGUAAAGCGUGCGCAGGCGGUUUUGUAAGACAGAGGUGAAAUCCCCGGGCUCAACCUGGGGACUGCCUUUGUUACUGCAAGGCUAGAGUACGGCAGAGGGGGAUGGAAUUCCGCGUGUAGCAGUGAAAUGCGUAGAUAUGCGGAGGAACACCGAUGGCGAAGGCAAUCCCCUGGGCCUGUACUGACGCUCAUGCACGAAAGCGUGGGGAGCAAACAGGAUUAGAUACCCUGGUAGUCCACGCCCUAAACGAUGACAACUGGUUGUUGGGUCUUCAUUGACUCAGUAACGAAGCUAACGCGUGAAGUUGACCGCCUGGGGAGUACGGCCGCAAGGUUGAAACUCAAAUGAAUUGGCGGGG